AUAUUACAAGAUACAAUACUUUUAUUCAUGUUAUAUCAGUGGUUUUGUAAAGGUGAAACAUAAAAAUAUUUUCAACAUAUUUAAGAAAGUUUAAAUUAUCUGAAUCUGAUUUGUACAAUUUUGCUUACAUGCUUCAUGUAGCUGUAGUCAGUUUGAGGGAAUCUGAUAAGAUCGAGAGCUGGAGAGUGGGUGUUUGUAUUCACUACUGGUUCAAAAAAUGAAUGAGGCUAUGAUAACACAGUUUCACAGAUGGAUUUUUCAGCAUCAAAGACAAGAGUCAGAGGAGACAAACUUUUAAGCAAUUUGAAGAAAUUGGACACAGCCAAGUUGGAUUUCUGUAUACAAGUUACGUUUAAACCGAAAUAUAAUAUAUUUUAAUAAUUGCUAAAAAGGGCACUGCUUCGAGAACGUACUUUGGCACGAAAUCACAACAGUUACGUAGAAGGGUAUUAUGACAUAUUUUUGUGGUGCUGUAAGGUUCUUAAAAUUAGGCCAAACAUUCAAAAAUCUAAAGUUGGAAAACAUCUACAGCAGAAACGUGUCUUAGAUUGUGAGUAGUAGUGUUUCAAACUUUACUUAUCCGAUAAGUAAUCGCACGUAACUGCUGUAGAUUUUACACACUUCCAAAUUUUUAAUGGAUCUUUCGCGUUAUCUACACCAAUAUGUCUAUGGGGCCUUUUAAAAUGUUUAAUAUGCCAAACAAGAAUGUGUGGACAAUAUCACGAUGUUUAUUUCUUUACCAUGUCUCUGGACCCAGUCUGAAUAUUAAUUGUACGUGCAGUCGAGACUCGCGUCAAUUCUGAAUUUUCGCAAAACCGAUCGAACACUGAUGUAAACAACUACUGUCUUAGUCCAUGUAAAGUGUGAAAAUGACUUAAAAUGUUUUGUUUUGAAGCCAGUUUCCGACCAGAGAUGAGACAUUCAAAUUUGACAUCGUGUAUUUGGACGGUAUUUCCCUUAUUUUCAUGAUGGAAUCGGUAAAUCUACCUCCCGUGAGUCGGGUGCAUCCGCCAUUUUGGAACGAUGGCUGGUACCGGAUGAUCUCGUCGAUCGUGAUUUUUUUAAAAGUAUGUAUUAAAAACUAUAUAAAUGAUACAAUAAAUCUUAUGGAGCUUUUUAAAAACUGUAUUCAGUCGUAUUUGCUUCUUUAGAUAUGUUAUUUAUUUUGAAGAGACAAAAACCUAACUCAACUGAUUAACGAGUCUUGGCAUUGGUUCAAUUAUGACAUCGAAAGAAAGAGCACCUCUAAUUGGCUGGAAGCGAUUUUGGCGCUUUUCUAAAAUCUGAACAUGGCGGUACCGAACAUGACUGCAUCUAUGGACGACACUGAUCGUGUGAACUUCCAAAGUUGUCUUCUCUUUUGGUACGAUGGAAAAAUCUCUGACAAUUUCUUCACCAACCAGGAAAGAAGUUUAGGCAAAGUUCCGUGUCAAACUACCGCGCCGUCGUUGUGGGAAUCAAAGAUCCUGCGUCAACCUAUGUGCCUUCAGGGGUUAAACAUAAACAGUCAAAAACAGACUUGGACUCGACAGGAACCAAAGGUGAUCCUGCCAUCUCUGGGGGUUAAAAAGGGGCACGGCUGUCGUUUAGUUCAACAGAAGGUAGCCGCGAACAUAAAAAAUUAAAUUUUGUAUUCUGCUUGAGCUGAAGAAGGCAUACAGUAAUAUUAAAUGCACCUGGGAUAUCAUUACCAGUAUGCGCUGAAAUUGGUUUUGAAAUAUUUCAAACACUUUUAGUGUUACAAGUAUUUUAUGGCAACAUAUGGAUGUAUAGCAUAUUUUGUAUCCUUGUUAUAUAUUGUAUAUUGAUAAUGGAUAGACCAUACAGAGUGUGUUUAAUUUGUAAAAGACAUAUCAAGGCUGAGUAUCUUUUUUAUUUGUAUUUGUAGUGCCUAAGAAGAAAUUAGAACCAAAUAUAUACCUGAAUAAUUUGCCCAUCCUAUAUGUCACAAAUUUGCAAUAUUGAUGUGCAGAAACAAUGAAACAGGUUGGGGGUGGGGAAUGUGGUCGUCAGGAUAUAUUUUAUGUCCCAUCCCAACCGUCAAUUUUGAAAGUUAUGUAAAAAUGGAUUAAAAGAAAAUUCUAACAAAUAAAUAAAGUCAAUGAAUCUUUA